rnacentral:rRNA from 1 species
UGGGGAAUAUUGCACAAUGGGCGCAAGCCUGAUGCAGCGACGCCGCGUGAGGGAUGACGGCCUUCGGGUUGUAAACCUCUUUCAGUAGGGAAGAAGCGAAAGUGACGGUACCUGCAGAAUAAGCACCGGCCAACUACGUGCCCGCAGCCGCGGUAAUACGUAGGGGGCAAGCGUUGUCCGGAUUUAUUGGGCGUAAAGAGCUCGUAGGCGGUUGGGCAAGUCACGUGUGAAAUCUCCACGCUCAACGUGGAGGCGCCACGUGAGACUGCCCUGACUCGAGUCCGGUAGGGGAGCGUGGAAUUCCCGGUGUAGCGGUGAAAUGCGCAGAGAUCGGGAGGAACACCCGUAGCGAAGGCGGCGCUCUGGGCCGGUACUGACGCUGAGGAGCGAAAGCGUGGGGAGCAAAC